AGUGUGGUGCCCAGCCAACCAGCUAUACCUCUUUUGAAGAUUUUAAGAACUUAGCCUCCUGAACAGUCUUCUUCGAAAGUGAAAAGUGGUAACAGCUGAUGAGUAUCAAGAAAUUAUUUUCUGCAAAGGGGCAGAGUUAAUUGUAUUUGGAACCCAUGACAGCACCUACUGGGGAAAGACUUCUAAGUGAGGAGAAACGGCUCUACAGGUCAUGAAACUAUGGAAAUGAGAUGGUUUUUGUCAAAGAUUCAGGAUGACUUCAGAGGUGGAAAAAUUAACCUAGAAAAAACUCAGAGGUUACUUGAAAAAUUAGAUAUUCGGUGCAGUUAUAUUCAUGUGAAACAGAUUUUUAAGGACAAUGACAGGCUGAAACAAGGAAGAAUCACCAUAGAAGAAUUUAGAGCAAUUUAUCGAAUUAUCACGCACAGAGAAGAAAUUAUUGAGAUUUUCAACACAUAUUCUGAAAACCGGAAAAUUCUUUUAGCAAGUAAUCUGGCUCAAUUUCUGACACAAGAACAAUAUGCAGCUGAGAUGAGUAAAGCUAUUGCUUUUGAGAUCAUUCAGAAAUACGAGCCUAUCGAAGAAGUUAGGAAAGCACACCAAAUGUCAUUAGAAGGUUUUACAAGAUACAUGGAUUCACGUGAAUGUCUACUGUUUAAAAAUGAAUGUAGAAAAGUUUAUCAAGAUAUGACUCAUCCAUUAAAUGAUUAUUUUAUUUCAUCUUCACAUAACACAUAUUUGGUAUCUGAUCAAUUAUUGGGACCAAGUGACCUUUGGGGAUAUGUAAGUGCCCUUGUGAAAGGAUGCCGUUGUUUGGAGAUUGACUGCUGGGAUGGAGCACAAAAUGAACCUGUUGUAUAUCAUGGCUACACACUCACAAGCAAACUUCUGUUUAAAACUGUUAUCCAAGCUAUACACAAGUAUGCAUUCAUGACAUCUGACUACCCAGUGGUGCUCUCUUUAGAAAAUCACUGCUCCACUGCCCAACAAGAAGUAAUGGCAGACAAUUUGCAGGCUACUUUUGGAGAGUCCUUGCUUUCUGAUAUGCUUGAUGAUUUUCCUGAUACUCUACCAUCACCAGAGGCACUAAAAUUCAAAAUAUUAGUUAAAAAUAAGAAAAUAGGAACCUUAAAGGAAACCCAUGAAAGAAAAGGUUCUGAUAAGCGUGGUAAGGUGGAGGAAUGGGAAGAAGAAGUGGCAGAUGGAGAGGAGGAGGAGGAGGAGGAGGAGGAGGAGGAGGAGGAGGAGGAGGAUAAAUUCAAAGAAUCAGAAGUAUUGGAAUCUGUUUUAGGAGACAAUCAAGACAAGGAAACAGGGGUAAAAAAGUUACCUGGAGUAAUGCUUUUCAAGAAAAAGAAGACCAGGAAGCUAAAAAUUGCUCUGGCCUUAUCUGAUCUUGUCAUUUAUACGAAAGCUGAGAAAUUCAAAAGCUUUCAACAUUCAAGAUUAUAUCAGCAAUUUAAUGAAAAUAAUUCUAUUGGGGAGACACAAGCCCGAAAACUUUCAAAAUUGCGAGUCCAUGAGUUUAUUUUUCACACCAGGAAGUUCAUUACCAGAAUAUAUCCCAAAGCAACAAGAGCAGACUCUUCUAAUUUUAAUCCCCAAGAAUUUUGGAAUAUAGGUUGUCAAAUGGUGGCUUUAAAUUUCCAGACCCCUGGUCUGCCCAUGGAUCUGCAAAAUGGGAAAUUUUUGGAUAAUGGUGGUUCUGGAUAUAUUUUGAAACCACAUUUCUUAAGAGAGAGUAAAUCAUACUUUAACCCAAGUAACAUAAAAGAGGGUAUGCCAAUUACACUUACAAUAAGGCUCAUCAGUGGUAUCCAGUUGCCUCUUACUCAUUCAUCAUCUAACAAAGGUGAUUCAUUAGUAAUUAUAGAAGUUUUUGGUGUUCCAAAUGAUCAAAUGAAGCAGCAGACUCGUGUAAUUAAAAAAAAUGCUUUUAGUCCAAGAUGGAAUGAAACAUUCACAUUUAUUAUUCAUGUCCCAGAAUUGGCAUUGAUACGUUUUGUUGUUGAAGGUCAAGGUUUAAUAGCAGGAAAUGAAUUUCUUGGGCAAUAUACUUUGCCACUUCUAUGCAUGAACAAAGGUUAUCGUCGUAUUCCUCUGUUUUCCAGAAUGGGUGAGAGCCUUGAGCCUGCUUCACUGUUUGUUUAUGUUUGAGAAAACAGAAAGGAACCCUCAAAGUGUGACUGUAUAUGAUGCAGAAAAAUGGGGAAGUCUGGCUAAGGACUCUGUGAAUUGCAUGAAUAAGUCAUAAAUUCAUUAUAGGGAGGAAGAAAUGAGAUAAUGAAUAUAAGCCUUGCUACAAAGCCUGGAACAUAUUAGACACCAGUAAAUUAUAGCUGAAAAAGAUCCAUCAAAUACACAAAAAGGA